rnacentral:rRNA from 1 species
GACGAACGCUGGCGGCGUGCUUAACACAUGCAAGUCGAACGACGUGGCGAACGGGUGAGUAAUACGUGGGUAACCUGCCCUCCUUUUUGGGAUAAGCAUUGGAAACGUGGUCUAAUACCGAAUAGAGGGGGAUGGGCUCGCGGCCUAUCAGCUUGUUGGUGGGGUGAUGGCCUACCAAGGCGGUGACGGGUAGCCGGCAUGAGAGGGGCACCCGGCGCAUUGAGACUGAGAUUAGGCCCACACGGCUACGGGAGGCAGCCGUGGAAGAUAUCGAAAAAUGGGCGACAGCCUGAUGCAGCGAUGCCGCGAGGGGGCUGAAGGGUUUCGGGUUGUAGUCCUAUUGUCCAAACGAACUGGUAGGUGGAGCAGCAGCCCCUGCUAACUACGGGCCAGCCGCCGCGGCAUUAC